rnacentral:rRNA from 1 species
AUUGAACGCUGGCGGCAGGCUUAACACAUGCAAGUCGAGCGGAGCGAAGGUGCUUGCACCUUAGCUUAGCGACGGACGGGUGAGUAAUGCUUAGGAAUCUGCCUAUUAGUGGGGGACAACAUUCCGAGAGGAAUGCUAAUACCGCAUACGCCCUACGGGGGAAAGCAGGGGAUCUUCGGACCUUGCGCUAAUAGAUGAGCCUAAGUCGGAUCAGCUAGUUGGUGGGGUAAAGGCCUACCAAGGCGACGAUCUGUAGCGGGUCUGAGAGGAUGAUCCGCCACACUGGGACUGAGACACGGCCCAGACUCCUACGGGAGGCAGCAGUGGGGAAUAUUGGACAAUGGGCGGAAGCCUGAUCCAGCCAUGCCGCGUGUGUGAAGAAGGCCUUUUGGUUGUAAAGCACUUUAAGCGAGGAGGAGGCUCUUAAGGUUAAUACCCUUGAUGAGUGGACGUUACUCGCAGAAUAAGCACCGGCUAACUCUGUGCCAGCCGCCGCCGUAAAAC